rnacentral:rRNA from 1 species
CCUACGGGGGGCUGCAGUCGAGAAUCUUCGGCAAUGGGCGCAAGCCUGACCGAGCGACGCCGCGUGGAGGACGAAGGCCUUCGGGUUGUAAACUCCUGUCGAGGGGGAAGAAGGCGCAAGCUUGACUGAACCCUGGAGGAAGCACGGGCUAAGUUCGUGCCAGCAGCCGCGGUAAGACGAACCGUGCGAACGUUAUUCGGAAUCACUGGGCUUAAAGCGCGUGUAGGCGGGACGGCACGUCGGUCGCUGAAAGCCCCCGGCUCAACCGGGGAACGGGCGCCGAGACGACCGCCCUGGAGGGACGUAGGGGGACCUGGAACUUCCGGUGGAGCGGUGAAAUGCGUUGAGAUCGGAAGGAACGCCCGUGGCGAAAGCGAGGUCCUGGACGUCUGCUGACGCUGAGACGCGAAAGCCAGGGGAGCGAACGGGAUUAGAUACCC